UACGAAGGGGGCUAGCGUUGCUCGGAAUCACUGGGCGGAAAGGGUGCGUAGGCGGGGCUUUAAGUCAGGGGUGAAAUCCUGGAGCUCAACUCCAGAACUGCCUUUGAUACUGAGGAUCUUGAGUUCGGGAGAGGUGAGUGGAACUGCGAGUGUAGAGGUGAAAUUCGUAGAUAUUCGCAAGAACACCAGUGGCGAAGGCGGCUCACUGGCCCGAUACUGACGCUGAGGCACGAAAGCGUGGGGAGCAAACAGG
rnacentral:rRNA from 1 species